rnacentral:rRNA from 1 species
CCUUGUACACACCGCCCGUCACAUCACGAAAGCCGGUUGUACCGGAAGUCGGUUCGCUAACCGCAAGGAGGCAACUGCCCAUGGUAUGGUCGGUGAUUGGGGUG